AGGUCGAGAAGACCAAGGCGCUUGAGAGAACUCUGGUGAAGGAACUAGGCAAAAUAGUACCGUAACUUCGGGAGAAGGUACGCUGUUGAGGGUUAAGGAUUUACUCCGUAAGCCUUCGGCAGCCUCAGAAACUAGGCCGCUGCAACUGUUUAUUAAAAACAUAGCACUCUGCAAACACGAAAGUGGACGUAUAGGGUGUGAUGCCUGCCCGGUGCUGGAAGGUUAAUUGAUGGGGUUAGCUAACGCGAAGCUCUUGAUCGAAGCCCCAGUAAACGGCGGCCGUAACAAUAACGGUCCUAAGGUAGCGAAAUUCCUUGUCGGGUAAGUUCCGACCUGCACGAAUGGCAUAAUGAUGGCGGCGCUGUCUCCACCAGAGACUCAGUGAAAUCGAAAUCGCGGUGAAGAUGCCGUGUACCCGCGGCUAGACGGAAAGACCCCGUGAACCUUUACUGCAGCUUUGCACUGAACUUUGAUCUUACCUGUGUAGGAUAGGUGGGAGGCUUUGAAGCUCGGACGCUAGUUCGAGUGGAGCCAUCCUUGAAAUACCACCCUGGUAAUAUUGAGGUUCUAACCCAGGUCCGUUAUCCGGAUCGGGGACAGUGUAUGGUGGGUAGUUUGACUGGGGCGGUCUCCUCCUAAAGAGUAACGGAGGAGUACGAAGGUGCGCUCAGCGUGGUCGGAAAUCACGCGUAGAGUAUAAAGGCAAAAGCGCGCUUAACUGCGAGACCGACAAGUCGAGCAGGUACGAAAGUAGGUCUUAGUGAUCCGGUGGUUCUGUAUGGAAGGGCCAUCGCUCAACGGAUAAAAGGUACUCUGGGGAUAACAGGCUGAUACCGCCCAAGAGUUCAUAUCGACGGCGGUGUUUGGCACCUCGAUGUCGGCUCAUCUCAUCCUGGGGCUGAAGCAGGUCCCAAGGGUAUGGCUGUUCGCCAUUUAAAGAGGUACGCGAGCUGGGUUUAGAACGUCGUGAGACAGUUCGGUCCCUAUCUACCGUGGGCGUUGGAGACUUGAGAGGAUCUGCUUCUAGUACGAGAGGACCGAAGUGGACGAACCUCUGGUGUUCCGGUUGUCACGCCAGUGGCACUGCCGGGUAGCUAUGUUCGGAAGGGAUAACCGCUGAAAGCAUCUAAGCGGGAAGCCUACCUCAAGAUAAGGUCUCCCUGAGGGUUUAACCCUCCUAAAGAGCCGUUAGAGACCAUGACGUUGAUAGGUUCGGUGUGGAAGUGCAGCGAUGCAUGAAGCUAACGAAUACUAAUUGCUCGUGAGGCUU
rnacentral:rRNA from 1 species